GCUCAGGAUGAACGCUGGCGGCGUGCCUAAUACAUGCAAGUCGAGCGAACAGAUGAGGAGCUUGCUCCUCUGACGUUAGCGGCGGACGGGUGAGUAACACGUGGGUAACCUACCUAUAAGACUGGAAUAACUCCGGGAAACCGGGGCUAAUGCCGGAUAAUAUGCGGAACCGCAUGGUUCUGCAAUGAAAGACGGUCUUGCUGUCACUUAUAGAUGGACCCGCGCCGUAUUAGCUAGUUGGUAAGGUAACGGCUUACCAAGGCAACGAUACGUAGCCGACCUGAGAGGGUGAUCGGCCACACUGGAACUGAGACACGGUCCAGACUCCUACGGGAGGCAGCAGUAGGGAAUCUUCCGCAAUGGGCGAAAGCCUGACGGAGCAACGCCGCGUGAGUGAUGAAGGUCUUCGGAUCGUAAAACUCUGUUAUUAGGGAAGAACAAGUGCGUAGGUAACUAUGCGCACCUUGACGGUACCUAAUCAGAAAGCCACGGCUAACUACGUGCCAGCAGCCGCGGUAAUACGUAGGUGGCAAGCGUUAUCCGGAAUUAUUGGGCGUAAAGCGCGCGUAGGCGGUUUUUUAAGUCUGAUGUGAAAGCCCACGGCUCAACCGUGGAGGGUCAUUGGAAACUGGAAAACUUGAGUGCAGAAGAGGAAAGUGGAAUUCCAUGUGUAGCGGUGAAAUGCGCAGAGAUAUGGAGGAACACCAGUGGCGAAGGCGACUUUCUGGUCUGCAACUGACG
rnacentral:rRNA from 1 species